rnacentral:rRNA from 1 species
UAGGGAAUCUUCCGCAAUGGGCGAAAGCCUGACGGAGCAACGCCGCGUGAGUGAUGAGGGUCUUCGGAUCGUAAAACUCUGUUAUUAGGGAAGAACAAAUGUGUAAGUAACUAUGCACGUCUUGACGGUACCUAAUCAGAAAGCCACGGCUAACUACGUGCCAGCAGCCGCGGUAAUACGUAGGUGGCAAGCGUUAUCCGGAAUUAUUGGGCGUAAAGCGCGCGUAGGCGGUUUUUUAAGUCUGAUGUGAAAGCCCACGGCUCAACCGUGGAGGGUCAUUGGAAACUGGAAAACUUUAGUGCAGAAGAGGAAAGUGGAAUUCCAUGUGUAGCGGUGAAAUGCGCAGAGAUAUGGAGAAACACCAGUGGCGAAGGCGACUUUCUGGUCUGUAACUGACGCUGAUGUGCGAAAGCGUGGGGAUCAAACAGG